GACUCUCGGCAACGGAUAUCUCGGCUCUCGCAUCGAUGAAGAAUGUAGCGAAAUGCGAUACCUGGUGUGAAUUGCAGAAUCCCGCGAACCAUAGAGUCUUUGAACGCAAGUUGCGCCCGAGGGCACGCUUGCCUGGCCGUCA
rnacentral:rRNA from 16 species